UACGGAGGGGGCUAGCGUUGUUCGGAAUUACUGGGCGUAAAGCGCACGUAGGCGGCUUUGUAAGUUAGAGGUGAAAGCCCGGGGCUCAACCCCGGAAUUGCCUUUAAGACUGCAUCGCUUGAAUUGUGGAGAGGAGACUGGAAUUCAUGGUGUAGCAGUGAAAUGCGUAGAGAUCAUGAGGAAGACCAGUGGCGAAGGCGGGUCUCUGGACAGUUCCUGACACUGAGGCACGAAGGCCAGGGGAGCAAACGGG
rnacentral:rRNA from 1 species